rnacentral:rRNA from 1 species
CAGCAUAAUUUUUUGUGGUGCAUUUACUUGAUUGGUGCUUGGGGAUGUUUGAGGCAGAUUUGUUUCCGUCGUUUUGAGGCCAGCUUGCUGGUACCCAAACGGUGUUAGCAUUUUUUGUCUUGGGCAUUUGAGUAUGGCUCACGUGUAUUUAUUGGACAGAUCUGAGUGUAAGUUACGGUCGCAUGCGACACGUGCUUUUCAAUUAGUUCGGUCCAGUUAAUGCUCUCGUACUCGUUCCCCAUGUAAAAGCCGGUCAUCUAUCCGACCCGUCUUGAAACACGGACCAAGGAGUUUAUCGUGUGCGCAAGUUUUUGGGUGUUAAAAACUUAAAAGCGAAAUGAAAGUAAAUGACUCUUUAGAGUCUGAUGUGCGAUCUUGUAAAAAAGUGUAGCAUGGCCCCAUUCUAACUGUUUACAGUAGGGUGGCGGAAGAGCGUACGCGGUGAGACCCGAAAGAUGGUGAACUAUUCCUGAGCAGGACGAAGCCAGAGGAAACUCUGGUGGAAGUCCGAAGCGGUUCUGACGUGCAAAUCGAUCGUCUGACUUGGGUAUAGGGGCGAAAGACUAAUCGAACCAUCUAGUAGCUGGUCCCUUCC